rnacentral:ribozyme from 2 species
UUAGUAACUCCGCCAUCGCCGGUCCCCAGCCCGGGUGAGAGAGGAGGAGGGCUAG